rnacentral:rRNA from 1 species
AUUGAACGCUGGCGGCAGGCCUAACACAUGCAAGUCGAGCGGAUGAAGGGAGCUUGCUCCUGGAUUCAGCGGCGGACGGGUGAGUAAUGCCUAGGAAUCUGCCUGGUAGUGGGGGAUAACGUCCGGAAACGGGCGCUAAUACCGCAUACGUCCUGAGGGAGAAAGUGGGGGAUCUUCGGACCUCACGCUAUCAGAUGAGCCUAGGUCGGAUUAGCUAGUUGGUGGGGUAAAGGCCUACCAAGGCGACGAUCCGUAACUGGUCUGAGAGGAUGAUCAGUCAAACUGGAAAUGAGAAACGGGCCAGACCCUAACGGAGGCAGCAGUGGGGAAUAUUGGACAAUGGGCGAAAGCCUGAUCCAGCCAUGCCGCGUGUGUGAAGAAGGUCUUCGGAUUGUAAAGCACUUUAAGUUGGGAGGAAGGGCAGUAAGUUAAUACCUUGCUGUUUUGACGUUACCAACAGAAUAAGCACCGGCUAACUUCGUG